UUGGAGGGCAAGUCUGGUGCCAGCAGCCGCGGUAAUUCCAGCUCCAAUAGCGUAUAUUAAAGUUGUUGCAGUUAAAAAGCUCGUAGUUGAAUUUCGGGGUCAGCAGGUUGGUCGUGCCACUGGUAUGCACUGGCUUCGCUGAUUCCUCCUUCUUGAAGAACUGUAAUGUCAUUAAUUUGGUGUUGCAGGGAAACAGGACUGUUACUUUGAAAAAAUUAGAGUGUUUAAAGCAGGCUAACGCUUGAAUACAUUAGCAUGGAAUAAUGAAAUAGGACGUUUGAUCCUAUUUUGUUGGUUUCUAGGAUUGACGUAAUGAUUAAUAGGGAUAGUUGGGGGCAUUAGUAUUCAGUUGUCAGAGGUGAAAUUCUUGGAUUUAUUGAAGACUAACUACUGCGAAAGCAUUUGCCAAGGAUGUUUUCAUUAAUCAAGAACGAAAGUUAGGGGAUCGAAGACGAUCAGAUACCGUCGUAGUCUUAACCAUAAACUAUGCCGACUAGGGAUCGGAUGAUGUUAAUUUUUUAAUGACUCAUUCGGCGCCUUACGGGAAAC
rnacentral:rRNA from 1 species